rnacentral:rRNA from 1 species
UACGUAGGGGGCAAGCGUUGUCCGGAAUCAUUGGGCGUAAAGAGCGCGUAGGCGGUCCGGUAAGUCGGUUGUGAAAACUGGGGGCUCAACCCUCAGAGGCCGACCGAUACUGUCGGGCUAGAGUCCGGAAGAGGCGAGUGGAAUUCCUGGUGUAGCGGUGAAAUGCGCAGAUAUCAGGAGGAACACCAAUGGCGAAGGCAGCUCGCUGGGACGGUACUGACGCUGAGGCGCGAAAGCGUGGGGAGCGAACAGG